AGAGUUUGAUCCUGGCUCAGGAUGAACGCUGGCGGCGUGCUUAACACAUGCAAGUCGAACGGUGAAGCCAAGCUUGCUUGGUGGAUCAGUGGCGAACGGGUGAGUAACACGUGAGCAACCUGCCCUGGACUCUGGGAUAAGCGCUGGAAACGGCGUCUAAUACUGGAUAUGAGCUCCUUCCGCAUGGUGGGGUUGAAAGAUUUUUUCGGUCUGGGAUGGGCUCGCGGCCUAUCAGCUUGUUGGUGAGGUAAUGGCUCACCAAGGCGUCGACGGGUAGCCGGCCUGAGAGGGUGACCGGCCACACUGGGACUGAGACACGGCCCAGACUCCUACGGGAGGCAGCAGUGGGGAAUAUUGCACAAUGGGCGGAAGCCUGAUGCAGCAACGCCGCGUGAGGGAUGACGGCCUUCGGGUUGUAAACCUCUUUUAGCAGGGAAGAAGCGAGAGUGACGGUACCUGCAGAAAAAGCGCCGGCUAACUACGUGCCAGCAGCCGCGGUAAUACGUAGGGCGCAAGCGUUAUCCGGAAUUAUUGGGCGUAAAGAGCUCGUAGGCGGUUUGUCGCGUCUGCUGUGAAAUCCCGAGGCUCAACCUCGGGCCUGCAGUGGGUACGGGCAGACUAGAGUGCGGUAGGGGAGAUUGGAAUUCCUGGUGUAGCGGUGGAAUGCGCAGAUAUCAGGAGGAACACCGAUGGCGAAGGCAGAUCUCUGGGCCGUAACUGACGCUGAGGAGCGAAAGGGUGGGGAGCAAACAGGCUUAGAUACCCUGGUAGUCCACCCCGUAAACGUUGGGAACUAGUUGUGGGGACCAUUCCACGGUUUCCGUGACGCAGCUAACGCAUUAAGUUCCCCGCCUGGGGAGUACGGCCGCAAGGCUAAAACUCAAAGGAAUUGACGGGGACCCGCACAAGCGGCGGAGCAUGCGGAUUAAUUCGAUGCAACGCGAAGAACCUUACCAAGGCUUGACAUACACCAGAACACCGUAGAAAUACGGGACUCUUUGGACACUGGUGAACAGGUGGUGCAUGGUUGUCGUCAGCUCGUGUCGUGAGAUGUUGGGUUAAGUCCCGCAACGAGCGCAACCCUCGUUCUAUGUUGCCAGCACGUAAUGGUGGGAACUCAUGGGAUACUGCCGGGGUCAACUCGGAGGAAGGUGGGGAUGACGUCAAAUCAUCAUGCCCCUUAUGUCUUGGGCUUCACGCAUGCUACAAUGGCCGGUACAAAGGGCUGCAAUACCGUGAGGUGGAGCGAAUCCCAAAAAGCCGGUCCCAGUUCGGAUUGAGGUCUGCAACUCGACCUCAUGAAGUCGGAGUCGCUAGUAAUCGCAGAUCA
rnacentral:rRNA from 1 species